rnacentral:lncRNA from 13 species
AGGCAAAAUACCCACUGGGUUAAAACUGGUUGAAUCAACGUUGUUCCACAUAAUUUCAACCCCAAAAACCUAUGUGAAGACUUUAAAUCAACAUGGAAAACUGAUUGGAUUUGCUAAAAGUCAUCAACGUCAGGGCAUUUAGUCUUUUAACCUAAAUCCAGUGAAAUUGUUUUUGUUGAUUUCAUGUUGAAUUCACGUUAAUUGACAACUCAAACAAAUGUAAAUCAAAACUAGACAUUGAACUGACAUCUGUUCCCAGUGGGCAAGUACUUGAUAAUCUAGGAUGAACUCCUACAUUUUAAUGUAUGUCAAGCAAUCAGUUCUCUGACAUUUAUUUUUUCUCAGAUUUCAUCAUGUGAAAACACCCAUAUGACAUGCCAAACAGUAGCAAUCUGCAGCAGUUCAAACCAAUUAAGGAAGUGAAGACCGGUAAUGUGAUUGAUCUCUAUUAAAUAAAGUAAACACGAACAUCGUGCCCUGAUUAGAACACCAACUACACAGAGAUUUAAUGACUUUAGCAAAUAGGAAUGACAAUAAAAGUAUAUGACAGAGGCAAAGAGGGUUCGUUUGAUUGUGAAGGUUGCCGCUGACAUCAUAGCUCAUCGGUUCCGUGAAGGGGGUCAAUAUUGUCCAGGGCUACAUAAGGCGCCCGCUCAAAGGGACCCUGCAUUCUCUCUGAGGUGAAGGUCACUCUUCUGCUCCACGCCGCUCCAGCCCAGGGUAAAACCAUGGCCUUUCUCAUCACCUUGGGACAGAUGCUACUGCUCACAACAGUUAUCUUCCACCACACAGGAUCCCUUCCUCUGUGGGAGAGUAACCAAGGGGAUCUGGAGGGGAUCAUUGGGAGUGAGAUUAGUCGUUUAAACACCCAGUCCCUGUUCGCCAGGAACUAUGUGAAUGCCCUGGUUGAAGCCAGACUGAGAUCGGGCCCACAGACGAGACAGUUGGGGGACAUUGAGUUUUCCAACCGAUACGCUGAGUACUUGAGGUCCAAAGCUAAGCACAGCUCAAUCUGCGCGUUCCUCCGACGCAUGCAGAGUGCUAAGAAAAGUGGGUUAGGAGGAGAUACAGAGAAGGUCAACCUGCUGUUGAAGCAGUACAUGUGUCCCAAUGUCUACCACUGGGCGGCUGAGUUAUAACUGGAGGACAACAGGGCUGGAAAUGUGGGAAACGACUGAAGUCUCCAACCUGGACUACUAUGGAAGUCUGACUGCCUAAUGUUACAGUAGUAACCAGUGGGCUGUUUGAACAUUUUAAGAUAAUCUAAUAGAAUAGUAUGUUUAAUCAGUCAUGGAAGGUUAUGACAUUUGGAGGUCUCAGAGGGUAAUAAAUAUGGUUUAUUAAUUCGACUAAUCUGUAGUUAUUUGAAUGACUUUAUUCUUCCAGAAGGAACUUCAGUUGUGGCAAGUUGGAUAAGAUAAAUCUAACGAUAUAUAGUGAACAUAUAAACAGCAACAUUCACACAUGACAGAUAUAAACGCUUACAAGGUAUAUGCAAGGUAAAUGUAAGUUACACAACUCUAUUUAAUUAAAGAGCUGUGCUCUACAAGACAAACACAAGUCACACAAAUAAAAUGUUCACUUAAAAACUGUAGUGGCUAAGAACCUGAGUCUGUGCCCUGAUGGCAGUACCGUAUAUUGGCUGUUCAGUGGAUGUGUAAGAUCCCAAACUAUUUCUUUACCCCUCUUACAUGUGCACUCUUUGUAAAUGUCUCAGAAAGCCAUAUCUAUCUAUCUCCUACCUGUACCACCAGUGUCAGUACCACUUUACAAAUAAUGACGUUCAUGAUUAAGCAUUAACAAACUAUUCAUAAAUAUGUACUUCAUUAUCUGUAAACAUAUGAAAACAUUUAUAAGCAUGAUUAUUUAUGAGUAUUUAUAACACUU